GAAAGCAUUUGCCAAGGACGUUUUCAUUAAUCAAGAACGAAAGUUAGGGGAUCGAAGAUGAUCAGAUACCGUCGUAGUCUUAACCAUAAACUAUGCCGACUAGGGAUCGGGUGUUGUCCUUUUUUUGGCGCACUCGGCACCUUACGAGAAAUCAAAGUUUUUGGGUUCUGGGGGGAGUAUGGUCGCAAGGCUGAAACUUAAAGGAAUUGACGGAAGGGCACCACCAGGAGUGGAGCCUGCGGCUUAAUUUGACUCAACACGGGGAAACUCACCAGGUCCAGACACAAUAAGGAUUGACAGAUUGAGAGCUCUUUCUUGAUUUUGUGGGUGGUGGUGCAUGGCCGUUCUUAGUUGGUGGAGUGAUUUGUCUGCUUAAUUGCGAUAACGAACGAGACCUUAACCUACUAAAUAGUGCUGCUAGCUUUUGCUGGUAUAGUCACUUCUUAGAGGGACUAUCGAUUUCAAGUCGAUGGAAGUUUGAGGCAAUAACAGUCUGUGAUGCCCUUAGACGUUCUGGGCCGCACGCGCGCUACACUGACGGAGCCAGCGAGUAUCUACCUUGGCCGAGAGGUCUGGGAAAUCUUGUGAAACUCCGUCGUGCUGGGGAUAGAGCAUUGUAAUUAUUGCUCUUCAACGAGGAAUUCCUAGU
rnacentral:rRNA from 1 species